UGGGGGAUAUUGCACAAUGGGGGGAACCCUGAUGCAGCGACGCCGCGUGAGGGAAGAAGGUUUUCGGAUUGUAAACCUCUGUCUUUGGUGACGAGAGUGACGGUAGCCAAGGAGGAAGCCACGGCUAACUACGUGCCAGCAGCCGCGGUAAUACGUAGGUGGCAAGCGUUGUCCGGAAUUACUGGGUGUAAAGGGAGCGUAGGCGGGAGAUCAAGUUGGACGUUAAAUUCAUCGGCUCAACCGGUGCAAGCGUUCAAAACUGGUUUUCUUGAGUGGAGUAGAGGUAAGCGGAAUUCCUAGUGU
rnacentral:rRNA from 1 species